GAUCUCUCGACAUUUGUUUGGAAACGCGUGUCAGAGCUAGACGGGAAAAUGCGAGUAGACGGCGUACUUAGUGCGCUCGUCUCUCUUGCCGCUAUCGUCGGGUCGACCGUCGGUAGUGAGGCCGACAAUGCAAUACCGCCUCGUCAGGCGUGUAGACCGCCGCUCGGCAAUCAGACGAUCUUUGAUUUCUCUAUUCGGAACGUGUAUGACAACGCCACUAUCAACAUGAGUCAGUUUCGCGGGAAGCUGACGUUGGUGGUGAAUGUUGCGACGUACUGAGGGUACGUCGUUCAGUACCAUGGGUUGAAUGCACUACAAACCCAACAUGGUGCUGACGGUUUCCAGGUGCUGGGAGUGCCGUGUAAUCAGUUCCACUAUCAAGAGCCUGCCUGGAACGGCGUGGAGUUGAUGAACGGUCUAAAGCACGUGCGCCCCGGGGGAGGUUUCGUACCGAAUUUUCCACUCACUUUGACAACAAAAGUGAACGGUCAGGAUGAACACCCGAUGUACAAGUACCUCAAGUCCCUGUGUAAGUCCGUGUAUAAGAAGCUGUACCAUCCCAUCCUGUACGAUCCCGUGUACACCGAGGACGUCAAGUGGAACUACGAGAAGUUUCUCAUUGGUCCAGACGGCAUACCUAUUUAUAGAUAUGCGCAAACAGUCGACCCCGCCACAGAUGCGCAGUUCCUGGCAGACGUCAAGGAGGAGCUUGCAAAGUUGAAAGGUCACACCCACGGUCCAUCAAGUGCACCAAGCGCACACGUACCGGUCGUUGGAUAACUCGUUACAGUUGUUAAUAUAAUGUAUAAAAACAAUAAUGUAUUGUUAUUGUAUUGUGAGCAUGAUUUGAUUCUUUCAUUAUGUAUUCUAAAAAUUUGGUUGCUUGUGUUUGCUAUCGACUAUUUUAUUUUAUGUGUGUUUAUUACUGUCUGUAUGAAUUGGAUGUCGGAAACAGUUCCCUCUGUGGGCCUCCAUUGAUUCGUUGUCAUGGUUACACGUCUAAGUGCAUUCAGGCUGUUGUUAUGGCAACGUGACAGUUUUGUUCAAUAAACGCAUGAAAAAUAA